UUACGGCCAUAUCAUGCUGAAACACAGGUUCCCGUACUAUCAUCCAAUUUAAUCAAUGCCACGCCUGGUCAGUACCUAGAUAGGUGACCGCUUGGAAAUACCAGGUGCUGUAAG